rnacentral:lncRNA from 1 species
UUCUUACCAAUUUUAGAUGUGUAUUCAUGUUGUUUAAGGUGAGGAAAGAGAUUGAGAUGGAGAUUCUGGCUAAGUGCUAUAAGAGGGAGACCCUGAAGAAAGAUUCCAUGUGGGUAGGGAAAGGGAAAGCCAUUAAGGUCUCUAGUCUAAAAAGAAAGUAGAUUUUAUGUAGGGGGAAGCAACAGUAAUAACAUCCACAUCCAUCGAUUUCACCUGGCUUACCUGUAACUAGAAAUACUAUACAGCAGCCAAGUGUCAGUGUCUUUGUGUGCAUUUUGUUGCCCCCCGGCCUUUCAUUCAGAAAAUGAGGUGAAGACCUACCCCCAUGAAGGAACGCACUGAAAAAGAACCUGAAGAGCUUCAGAGGGUUGAGACAGUGAGGCAGAUUGAACAGGAACAUUCACAACUUCAAGAGGUGAUUUUAAACACAAUCUCCAGAGACAAAGAGGAAGAGGAGGCAGAGGACAGUAAGACAGAGAGUCCUGUCUGACUGGCUCUAUAUGGAGGGGUCAAUCCUUAUCUCUAUAGCCAGUUCAGCUUCCACAUCAGAGAGCAGAAAAUCAACCACAUCACCUUGCUAAAGGUGAUGACUCCUCUUGUUGUUUAUACUUGAUAAUUGAACUUGAUGUUUUAUUAUGUUUAUUUGUGUGCUGGCAUCCUCUUUUGAGUUCAGAAAAUGUUUUUAAAAAAGGGGUGGGGGGGGUCAUAAGAGUCAACUACUAUUAAUGUGUUAUAUUUCAUGGUCGUUUUAUGAAGGAUGUUAUCUACAAAGUAAAGAGCACAUUCAACAAAGAAUUUGUAAUGCGUGUCCUGAGAGAGCUCUUACUGUGACCGACUGCCUGUGUACAGUAGCACAGGCAGUCUCUGUUUAAGAUUUUAAAAAAUCUAGGGUUAAUCCAGGAUUUAUUUUACCUUUACUAGUCCAUCUUACCAGAUGUGUUGUCUAACAAGUCUGAACAUAGACCCAUUUUAUUUCUUUCAAACUGAAAUAGUUUUUGUGUAAUUUAUGGCAAACACUGAUUUACUAUUGUGGCCAGUGGGCCUUACAAAUGAAUCUGUGUGUUUUUAGAUCAAUGUUGAGAAAUACCUCACCACAGAGCAGAAAGAAAAAGAAGAAAGGCUAAGAGAGGAAGAUAAACGGCCAAGCCUUCAAGCCAAGGUAUAAUAUUACUGUACCCCACAACAGGUGUGCUUUUAACAGUUAAUUAACUACUUAUUUUCACAUCAUAACCCUUGUUUAUCACAACAGUUUACUUUUAUAAAAAUGUAAUAUUCUGUUCAUCCAUGGUUUCAACAAUAAAGCAGCACAACUGUUUUCAACAUUAAAAAUAAGAAGAAAUGUUUCAUGAGCACCCAAAUCAGCAUAUUAGAAUGAUUUCUGAAGGAGA